UACCUGGGUCGAAUAUGGCCAGCCGAAAAAUAUGGCCACAUGUCAUUAUUUCAAAUACGAAAUAUUAUAAUAACCUGAACGCGACCAUAAAUUGUCGCUAGUGUAGCGUGUAUCCGAACGGCGUACCUGUCACUCCUCCCGCGCGCCCGCUAGUCGCCCAGUGUUUAUUAAAUGGAAACGAGUUUUAAGGUUAUAAAAACAUCAAGCAAGUAUUGUCCUGUAUUUUGUUAGUUUGAAUUUAAGAAUCUUUGUAAAUCACAUUAUGAUUUUGUGUGGCGAUUGUAAUUUGAUAUUUCUUUGUUUAAUUACCAAAACCAUGGCACGCUAUAAAUCUAAAGGGAUUAGAGGUAAUUGGUCAGAAGCAUCAAUGAAACAAGCAUUAACUGCAAUCAAAAGCGAUAAGAUGAAAAUAUAUACGGCUUCAAAGCACUAUAAUGUGCCAAGACGUACUUUGAGGCGUUAUUUACUAGAGAAAAAGGAGACAAAAUCUACAUUGGGUCGGAAACCGCUUCUUAACCCUGAACAAGAGAAGAUUUUAGCAUACUUAGCAUUUUAAGUUUAAAAUUAAGAAAGACUUGUUGAGUCUCAUUGUUGACUUUAUCUUUUAAUUUACAUUUUUGUUAAGGUACUUAGUUCCUUAUUUGUAAUGAAUAUCGCCCAAAGAAUAUCUUUUAAAUAAAUCUUCUAUUAAAAUAUAAUAACUA